rnacentral:rRNA from 1 species
AUUGAACGCUGGCGGCAGGCCUAACACAUGCAAGUCGAACGAGUGGCGGACGGGUGAGUAAUGUCUGGGAAACUGCCUGAUGGAGGGGGAUAACUACUGGAAACGGUAGCUAAUACCGCACACCAUCAGAUGUGCCCAGAUGGGAUUAGCUUGUUGGUGGGGUAACGGCUCACAAAGGCGACGAUCCCUAGCUGGUCUGAGAGGAUGAACAUCCACACUGGACCUGAGACACGGUCCAGACUCCUACGAGAGGCAGCAGUGGGGAAUAUUGGACUAUUGGCUCAAGCAUGAUGAAGCCAUGCCGCGUGUAUGAAGAAGGCCUUCGGGUUGUAAAGUACUUUCAGCGGGGAAGCGUUACCCGCAGAGGAAGCACCGGCUAACUCCGUGCCAGCCGCCGCGGUAAUUC